GUCAAUACAGUACCGGACGUCGUUCGUUUAUGCGAAUUACGCUAGUUUUGGGCAUAAGAAAGUCAUCGACCUCGUGCCCUCUAGGUAUUCCGCAUCCGAGAGCUCAAGCAAAAAUUCAUGAGCCGUAACAACACCAUGACGAGUGAGUAGCACGGAACACAAAUAAUGCUUCGACGUUCACCCAAAGCCGCACCCUUCGAAGGGGCAACACGAGACGAACGAUGGGCAAAUUGACAAUCGAAUUCCAUUAUAGUAGGUAUGCAACACAGGAAACCGAAACUUACGGCCAAGGCUAAUCUUGCUCUUGGGCCCAACAAGUGAAGAGGACU
rnacentral:misc_RNA from 1 species